UGCCCGGUCACAUGUUAAAUUUUAAAAUGAAAAACAAAAGGACAAGAACUCAUCUCCCCACAGGGUGUCUUAUAAGUUUGAAGUUUGCAGAGAGCCCAGGAAAGCUUACCAAGGGGACCAGCAUGCUCACGCCUCUGAGGUUAAGGAGGCCCCUCAGGAAGAGGUGACAUGCGACUGGCCAGUGAAAGUUCUCAGCACAUCCAGCUUCCAGAGGCCCACUGGAAGAUCAUAGGCCUGAGAUUCUUGCAGUCCAGGCAUCCACCAUCCAUGAUGGGCCCUUGACCUCGCCCACUCCACACCGACCCUAGGACUUGGAAGACACAAGGAACUCAUGUGAACACCAUGCUUAAACUGCAGCUAUUAUUUUACUGCAACUAAUAAAGUCCCUGUCUCUGACCCAGGAGUCUCAGAACUGGAGAUUGGCAGUGCCUCUAUUUGAAUGGAGGUCAUCUGACUCCCUUUGUAUCUUGGGUUCUGUUUUUCAA
rnacentral:lncRNA from 1 species